CUUGAUCUUUACCGAUGAUUCUUUUGGGCAACAGAGAGGAUCGGCGCGCUAGGGUUUCAAGGUUGAUAGAUUGGCGCCAAACUGAGGGUGUGGUGGUGGGAUGAAUCAGGGGUUGGAUCAGAAUAUUCAUAGGCUGUCCAUCUGCAGAUCACUUACAAAAAGACAAACCUCUCACCAGUUGUUGAAUGCCUCUCUAUAAAGGUAGUGCAAAAAAUCUGUCAACUGACUGUUAUGAGUUUUGGAGAGUUAGCUGAUGGAUGCUUGUUUGCAGAAGGCACAUGCACACCCGAGCAUGGACAUGAUGGUGAAAAUUAGAAGUCACUGCAUGAAGAAAACUUAUUUCUUGGCAUGAAUUGUUUGUUUCUUAAUACCUCAAUAUUUUUUAAUAUAGGAUAUUAUAUUAACAAGAAUGAGCCUUAUCAAGUUGGCUGUAAUCUACAUCAAUCUGAAGUAUGUACUCUUUUUUCAUGCAUGGAUUGAGGGCUUCCAAUUGAAGAAACUUUCUGGAGGACUAGGACUUUUGUUCUAGUAUUGAAGAUGUAGCAGAGAUUGUUCGUGUGUCUCCAUCUGUGAUGUUCAAGCAAUUUUCUGAUGCCAUGCAUGGCUCUCAUGAGAAAUUUGACUCAUUGUCUUCUUUGAUCAUCAACCAUGGGGGAUUUACAAAUUACUCUGGUUGAGGAUGGAGAAACCGCGCUGGAUGGUGUUUUGCUAUGUGUACCUGAUGAGUGGCAUUGUGUCGAUAUUGCCCUUUACGAGGAUAAUCAGAAAUACCUGAAAGAUCUUGAUGAUGAUAAGUUAAACCAACUUUCUUCUCUUUGAACCCCUUUCCGUAUUAAGAUCUGCAGUUGUAGGUUUCUGGAAGCUACCAAAGUCAAAGGAUUUAGCUGUGAAAUUCUCCUUGGAAAUUGGAAAGAUUCAAUACAUUCCACUUUGCAACUGCUCCACUAGUUAUUAGAGCGUCUGAAUGAGAUGUGAGGAGUUGCUCGUUUGAUGAUGAGAGCAAAAGCUGUGGGUAUUUUUGGUUGGUACGCUGCUCACAUCUAACUCGUCUAAUCAAUUUAGGUUUAAUUAUCUAAAUAAAUAUAUUUAUUAAUAAAUUUUUAAAAACUAUUUCCUAAACAUAUUUUUUUACUCAACAAAGCAAAAGCUCCUUUCCUUUACCUUUAGGUCAUUUCUCUGUCUUGCUAAAGUCCAAAGCCCGCCCGUUUCAAUUGUGUCAAAGCUCUUAUAUAUAUGGUCUUUCUAAUUUUGAAAAAUUAUUCCUUAGCAAAUAUGCCAAAUAGAUGAAACCAUCCCAAAUAAUUUUUCUGUAAUUCAUUUUCUGCAACUCCUAGCAAGUACUCAUAUCUUCUGCGGGUAAGCGGGCGGAUGUCUGUUUACCAGUAGGUCUAUGUCAUUUUAAUUUCUUUUAAAAUAUUUACGGGUUCAUUCAUAUGGAUUUAUUUUAAAAUUCUAGUUUUAAAAUAUUUAUGUUUUCACUAGUCAUAUAUAUAAAUAUAUGUUUAAGUUUAUGAAUUUAUUCAUGUAUAUCCUUUACUUGCUCAUGUUUCUCUUUCACCUAUUUAAUUAGAAUCAUAUUUUCCCCCUUAGUUAUUCUGUUAGAAUCAUUAAUUGCUUAUUGUGUCUAUUUAUCAUGCAUCUCUUUUACUUGCUCAUGCUUCUCUUUCACCGAGUCAAUUAGAAUCAUAUUCUUCCCUUAGUUAUUCCGCUAGAAUCAUUAAUUGCUUAUUGUCUUUAUUUAGGUUUAUUUUAUAUUAUUUAUUUAUUUUUAAAGGUGGAUAAUUCAAUUUCUUUAGAAAAAAAUAUAUAAAAGAGAAGAUCACAUCGACAAGAGUAAACAAAAGACUAAGAUUCUCAAGAAAAUGAUACAACACAAAACAGGGGAAGGUGAUAGAUACAAUAGAUCCACUAGGGGUGAAUUAACAUGCUGACAUGCAGAACCCCUGAGAAUGUAGCUUUAGGUUAGGGAUGCUCAGAGGAGAACUAACUUGUAUCUUGGGUGGGGUGGAUGUCUUCUCACUGGCGUCACUUGCUUCGACUGUCUUAGCACGGGAUCCCAUAAACUUCAAAUUGCGUUGGAUAAUCGAGAUGAAAUCCUUUAAUUUUGUCUUUUUCGCCUCUGGUGAUUCUGAAGGUUUGUCUCGCGUACUCUUUUUUUUUGAAUAAAUAAGGUGGUUGUGCUAAAUGCCCAGCAUCCUUGUACCGUCUCGAAGUUGAUUUUUUCUAUUGCUCGCUGCGUUAUAUCCGAUCCACAAAAGCUGCAUCAUUCUCCACGAAAGUUACAACAUUGGUGCUACUAGCUUGGUCCACCAUAAACCGAUUGACGACAUCAUGCGCCAAUAAACCAACAUGCGUUGAUAUAGGGUUUAAUAACAUGGGAGUUGGGACCCAUUGUGAAGACUUCAACAUGUCUCCCACAGCCAGUGAGAGCGUUCGGCAUACUUGUUAGUAUGAGAUUAUAUUAGCAUUAUGAGAUUAUAUUAGCAAUGCUAACUCGGAUAUUUUGAGGAUUCACUUUUUAUAAUUUGUGACAAGCAUCGAGUAACAUCACAUUCCAAAGCUUUACCACUUUGUGAGGUAGUGCCUUCUUGGCGGUUGGAUGAAGUGCACCAUCUGGCUCAUUAGAGACAAUGAGUCUGGGAUUACUCACACGUCGACAUGGACACCUGACAGAUGUGUGCGUCACCGCCUUGUUGUAGCACACUGCGUCGCCCCUUGGGGAGAAUGGUGAUGUAGGUCUGGGCCGAGGCAGGAUGCAAAGGCUCCGUCGGGCCCGUCAGCGUUUAUUGCACGUAAGUGUGAGCGAGCACAUGAGGAAUGGGACACCCACACCUGUGCGCCUAGCUAGACGGAGCCACAAAGCCCUUAAGAGACGGGCUAGGCUGACCUGUGAUUGCCUUGUGGUAUGCAAGCAGACACAAAACUGAGGGGGCACCAACGCACAGUUGCAGGCCGCGAACCAUCAUUAGGCGUGGCACCAUCUGGGUGGACAACGGGCACUAUGCAUACAACUUGACAAAAUCGGAAAGCCCUUGGGAAAGAAUAUGUUGCCCAACCCCCGUUUGAGGUUGGUGUUGCACAUUGGCAGCCACCCGGACGAAACUAAACUACCCGCAACCUAGGGAGAGUUAUCUUUUCUACUUAAUUGCCCGUCGAAAUGGCUCAGCCAGAGAUUAGGGUUCAACGCUUGAAAGAACACCACACGUUUACCAAUCUAAUAAGCUUUAUCGGUUCUAAACUUUUACCUAAAAAUUUACGAAUUAAGAUCUUUAUUAGAAGAUCAUCAGAUAUACGUUAAACAAAAAAACAGUAAAACACCCUAAUGCAAAACCCUGUCAUACAUAAAUAAUAUUGCUAUAUAUAAUUUUUUUUUUUUUUUUUCUGUUUUUGCACCUUUAUGAAAAUGAAUUAUUCUUGACACAUUCUUGCACAUUCUCUGUUUUCGCUAGAUUUUCCAAAUAUAUCCGAAUUGCACCAUCCUUUCCUGUGAUCAUUCACAAGUGCAAGAAUUAGUAAAUAAGCUUUUAAGUAAAUUACUCAUGUGCAUUUAAACAAGAAAUGUCGUGAUUAGAAGUUUACCUAAUGUGUUAUCAAAGUCUUGUUUUGGGUCAUAAGAUGUAGGAGAUAUACAAUUAUAUUCAUAAAAUGUGAACGUAAUUGAAACCAUAAGAUUAAAGAUGAUAAUAGAAUUCAGAUCUAAGUUAAUUAUACUUAAAAACAAACACAAUAUAAGGAGUUUUUUACUGACUAGGUUAAUAUCAAUUUUUUGUAUUGUAUCGUCGACCAACAAAGUAUACCAAGUAUUUGUUGGGUUAUAUUGCUUAUACUUGACCCACACUUUUUCCAGCACUUUGACAUAUAUAUAUGGGCCUUUGUUUCAUGUCUUCUGCAGUAAGAAUCACCCUGCAUAAUUGAAAUCAACUCAUUUUCAGAAAUAAUGGCUUAAAAAAAAAUUGGUGAUAACAAAUCUUUGUCAGAAAUUAUGAACUAGAAGUUACCCAAAUGAAGAAAAACUGAUCGCGAUAUUGUUUCAAAAAAUUAAUUGCCUUGUCCAAGUUAUGCCUGCAUUGUUCUCUUGUUAAAACUACAAACACUAAAAACUGAAAUAUCCUCAAAAGAUUAAUUCAACCUAUAAAGGAAAAAUAUGAAAUGUUUAAGAACACGUAUUACCUGGUCUUCGAUGAUCAAAUAGAAACUAUAUAGUUUUUAAAACAAAACUUUAGAAAUUUUUUAACAAACGGUCUCGGUUUCAUAGUUGCUGCAAAAGCAGACAAUGAUUGAUAAUCAGUUUAAAACAAAUAUAAUAUGUUGAAUAAAAGGGCAAAGACAUUUGGUGCAUUUAUAUUCAAUGUGAGCGAGCACUCCAUUUAGAUCAAGGAUGAGAAGUUUUUCAAUGAGUCAACUUCAGUGAGCACUCCUUUGCUCGGAUUCUCUGCAAAAAGAUAUAAACAAACACAAUAUAGCAAUUAUGAUAAAAAUAUCAUUGCCACUAAGCUUUAGGUCUGAAUCAUUAGUAUGCAAAAGAAAAGAACAAAAAAAUACGUUUUUUGCCUGCCCAAGAGUUAUUCUUUUUGGGGGAAAAAGGAAAAAUCAUUUAACCAAAAAAAUGUAUACCGAGUUGUUAGUUUGAAUCUUCUCUGCCCUCCUCAUCCUUAUUCCGUCCUUGCUAUAAAUUAAUGAUAAUGAUUACAUGAGAAAAAAAUUUAUGAGCGUAUUGUAGCUAAACUUAACUAAAAAUGUUGAAGCCUAUGUAACAAGAUUAAGUUGAUAAUUUUACUGUUUGACACUCUAAAAUUUGUGCUUUUCUUCCACGAUAAAGAUCCACCAACAAUAUCAUUUAGUGUAAAGAUGGAUUUCUGAAGUUUUGGAGGAAUCUUCAAUGGUCGAACUUUAUUUGAACUUAGAAUGUUUUUCUAAUCAAUUUCAUUAUGUUUUUUUCUUUGAGCAUACAUUGCAGUGCUCUGCAUGCUCUCUACACAAAUAUACCAACAAAAAAGAUCACCUACUUGGUCGUUAAAAAGAAAAAAUCAAUUAAAUGGAUGUCCUGAAAAAAAUUAACUUACCUCACCCUUCAGCUCUUUCUUUUAUAAGACAUGUCCCUUGUCCGGGAACCACUUUAUCCAUGUCUUCUGAUGCCUGUGUUGUAAUAUUAGUAGCGUAUGUUGCAACAAAAAAAUACUUUGUCCACCUCUAUUUAGCUUGUGUUACAACAUGCGUAUAAUAAGUUACAAUAUUACUUCUCGUGUAGUUACCCCUCGUGCAGCCUCCUUAGCCAUAUCUUCUGUUGCCGGUGUUACAACUUGAGUAUCAUAAGUUGCAACAUAAACUUCAUCAACCUUUCUCUUCACCCGUGAUAUUUCAAUAAAAAAAUCAAUAAUUAUUAGAAUGUAAUAUGAGUAAGUAUAUAAGUUGCUGCAUCAUUCGAGGAUUAUCUGCAUCAUUUAUCUCUUGUGCAGCUGCCUAUGUAAAAGCCUAGUCAAACAUAUCAUCAGCUGGGCAAGGAGAUGUUUCUUGUACAAUUGGCUCGGUAAAAGUCUCCGCAAUUAUCUCUCAUGCAGCCUCCUUAGCCAUCUCUUCUGCUGCCUGCGUUACACAUGAGUGUCGUCAGUUGCAACAUAAACUGCUUUGUCCACCUCUUCUGCAGCUUGCGUUACAACAUGAUUACAUAAAGUUACAACAUUACCUGUUGUGCUUCUACCACGACAAAAGCCUUCUCAGGCUUGUCUUCAGCUGCACAAGGAACAUCUUCAUUAACAGAGUUUCCUGUUGCUUGUGUUGCAACUUCAGUGGUGCAAGUUGCAACAUGGACAGCUUCACCUGCAACUCCGGCAAUCUUUCUCUUUUUCACCUUCUCCAAGAACUAAUUCACCCAUAUCUUCUAAUGCUUGCAUUCCAAUAUAAGUAGAGUAUGUCGCAACAUAAAUGCUUUAUCCACAUCUAUGCAUCUUGUGUUAGAACAUGCGUAUAAUAAGUUAUAAUAGUACCUCUCGUGCAGCUAUCCCUUGUGCAUCCUCAGUCAUAUUUUCUCCUGCCUGUGUUACAACUUUAGUAUCAUUAGUUGCAACAUAAACUGUACAUGCGUAUAAUAAGUUACAAUAGUACCUCUCGUGCAGCUAUCCCUCGUGCAUCCUCAAUCAUAUUUUUUGCUGCUUGUGUUACAACUUGAGUAUCAUUAGUUGCGACAUAAAUUGUUUCGUCAAUCUCUUCUUCACCUGUGACAUUUCAAUAAAAAAAUCAUUAAUUAUUGGAAUGUAAUUCAAGUAAGCAUAUAAGUGGUUGCAUCAUUCGCGGAUUGCAUGCAUCAUUCGUCUCAAUGUGCAAGUGUUGCCAACGAUCUUCCAUGCAUUGUCAAACUCACUAUGUACAACUGGCUAGUUUUCUUUUCUUUCCUUGCAUAUUUUUGUUUUCAGUUCCAGCAUCAUGCUGUGCAUGAGCGUCUCACAACAAAAGCUUGAUUAAUUUAUCAGACAAAAGGAGUUGUCUUGCACUUGACACUCCUCGAUCAUGAAUGGCAGCCUUUUCCAUACACAACAACGAUGUGAAAGCAAGGUCCAAGGGAAGUAUUUUAGCAUAUGACCGAAGUAAAAAAUCUUUGGGCAGCCUAUUAUAAUGUUUUCAUUCAAUCGGCAUUGAAACAUUGAAACAUGAAAAAUUAGAAAAGUGAUAGUUUUUAUUUAUUUUUUCAAAAUUCUACUCAAAAUAUUUAAAAUACAUUCAAUAAAAAAUAAAGUAAUAAUAAUAAUGAUAAUAAUAUUAUUAUUAUUGUUAUUGUUAUUGUUAUUGUUUUUUAGUAGGUUGCUGAAAAUUUAGGUAAAAUUUUUAAAAAGAUCUCAACACCAA